rnacentral:misc_RNA from 1 species
UACGUAGGGCGCAAGCGUUGUCCGGAAUUAUUGGUCGUAAAGAGCUCGUAGGCUGUUUGUGGCGUCUGCUGUGAAAGCCCGGGGGUCAACCCCGGGUCUGCCGUGGGUACGGGCAGACUAGAGUGCAGUAGGGGAGACUGGAAUUCCUGGUGUAGCGGUGAAAUGCGCAGAUAUCAGGAGGAAUAACGAUGGCGAAGGCAGGUCUCUGGGCUGUAACUGACGCUGAGGAGCGAAAGCAUGGGGAGCGAACAGG